UUAAGCGAAGAAGAGCGCAGGGUGGAUGCCUUGGCACUAAGAGCCGAUGAAAGACGUGAUAAGCUGCGAAAAGCUUCGGGGAGGAGCAAAUAUCCAUUGAUCCGGAGAUAUCUGAAUGGGGAAACCCGGCUGAGCAAACCUCAGUCAUCCAUACGCCAAUCCAUAACGUAUGGAAGGGAACCCGGUGAACUGAAACAUCUAAGUAGCCGGAGGAAAAGAAAGAAAACUCGAUUUCCAGAGUAGCGGCGAGCGAAAUGGAAAGAGCCUAAACCAGCGUGCGUGCAUGCUGGGGUUACGGACUGCACAAGUCAUUGUGGAAGGUUAAGGGAACGGUUUUGGGAAAGCCGGCCAGAGAGGGUGAAAGCCCCGUACCUGAAAACCAGACACAGGCGGCAGGAUCCAGAGUACCACGAGACACGAGAAACCUUGUGGGAAGUCGGGGGGACCACCCCCCAAGGCUAAAUACUACUUAGUGACCGAUAGCGCAUAGUACUGUGAAGGAAAGGUGAAAAGGACCCCGGGAGGGGAGUGAAAGAGAACCUGAAACCCUGUGUUUACAAGCUGUGGAACAUCUAUAUACGAUGGACCGCGUACUUUUUGUAGAACGGUCCGGCGAGUUACGCUGGCUGGCAAGGUUAAGGACCUAAGGUCCGGAGCCGGAGGGAAACCAAGUCUUAAUAGGGCGAAAUAGUCAGUCAGAGUAGACCCGAAACCGGGUGAUCUACCCAUGUCCAGGCUGAAGUUGCCGUAAAAGGCAAUGGAGGGCCGAACGCACAUCCGUUGAAAAGGGUGGCGAUGAGGUGUGGGUAGGGGAGAAAUUCCAAUCGAACCCGGAGAUAGCUGGUUCUCCUCGAAAUAGCUUUAGGGCUAGCCUCGACAGAGUCUGAUGGAGGUAGAGCACUGAAUUUCCUAGGGGGCGUCAAAGUCUACCGAAGAAUAUCAAACUCCGAAUGCCAUCAAGAUGCUUGUCGGGAGUCAGACUGCACGAGAUAAGUUGGGUAGUCAAAAGGGAAAGAGCCCAGACCUCCAGCUAAGGUCCCAAAGUGCGUGUUAAGUGGAAAAGGAUGUGGGAUUUCAAAGACAACCAGGAUGUUGGCUCAGAAGCAGCCAUACAUUCAAAGAGUGCGUAAUAGCUCACUGGUCGAGAGGUCCUGCGCCGAAAAUGUCCGGGGCUGAAACACGACACCGAAGCUGAGGAAUUGGACGUAAGUUUAAUUGGUAGAGGAGCAUUGCAUACGCGAGGAAGCAGUACCGUAAGGAGCUGUGGAGUGUAUGGAAGAGAGAAUGCCGGAAUGAGUAGCGAGAUGGAGGUGGGAAUCCUCCAGGCCGAAUAUCCAAGGUUUCCAGAGUAAAGCUGAUCUGCUCUGGGUAAGUCGGGACCUAAGGCGAGGCCGAGAGGCGUAGCCGAUGGACAACAGGUUGAGAUUCCUGUACUGCUGUAUAUCAGAACUGUGGGGACACAGAGGGAAAGCACAGGCGCGGAACGGAAAGCCGCGUGCAAGCGAGGUACCGGACUGGUAGGAAAAACCGCCAGCCAACGGGAAGACGUGAUGCGGACCGAAAUUUAGUAGGGAAGUGUGUGAGCCAGCUGUCAAGAAAAGCCGCUAUUGUGUAUACAGUACCCGUACCGUAAACCGACACAGGUGGAUGAGGAGAGAAUCCUAAGGCCGGCGGAAGAAGUAUUGUCAAGGAACUCGGCAAAAUGACCCUGUAACUUCGGGAGAAAGGGUGCCUCGAAAGAGGCCGCAGAGAAUUGGCCCAAGCAACUGUUUAGCAAAAACACAGGUCUAUGCGAAACCGAAAGGUGAGGUAUAUGGGCUGACGCCUGCCCGGUGCUGGAAGGUUAAGGGGAGAUGUUAGAGCAAUCGAAGCAUCGAACUUAAGCCCCAGUAAACGGCGGCCGUAACUAUAACGGUCCUAAGGUAGCGAAAUUCCUUGUCGGGUAAGUUCCGACCCGCACGAAAGGCGUAAUGAUUUGGGCGCUGUCUCGACAAUACAUCCGGUGAAAUUGAAGUACCAGUGAAGAUGCUGGUUACCCGCGCCAGGACGGAAAGACCCCAUGGAGCUUUACUCCAGCUUGAUACUGGGAUUCGGUAUUGCAUGUACAGGAUAGGUGGGAGGCUAAGAAGCAUGGACGCCAGUCUAUGUGGAGCCGCUGUUGGGAUACCACCCUUGCGGUAUUGGAUUUCUAACCAGCCGCCGUGAAACCGGCGGUGGGACAAUGUCAGGCGGGGAGUUUGACUGGGGCGGUCGCCUCCGAAAGGGUAUCGGAGGCGCCCAAAGGUUCCCUCAGAAUGGUUGGAAACCAUUCGAAGAGUGCAAAGGCAGAAGGGAGCUUGACUGUGACACCGACGGGUGGAGCAGGUACGAAAGUAGGG
rnacentral:rRNA from 1 species